GCUUUUGGCCUCCCGGCUUUAUAUCUAUAUAUACACAGGUAUAUGUGUAUAUUUUAUAUAAUUGUUCUCCGUUCGUUGAUAUCAAAGACAGUUGAAGGAAAUGAAUUUUGAAACUUCACGGUGUGCCACCCUACAGUACUGCCCUGACCCUUACAUCCAGCGUUUCGUAGAAACCCCAGCUCAUUUCUCUUGGAAAGAAAGUUAUUACCGAUCCACCAUGUCCCAGAGCACACAGACAAAUGAAUUCCUCAGUCCAGAGGUUUUCCAGCAUAUCUGGGAUUUUCUGGAACAGCCUAUAUGUUCAGUUCAGCCCAUUGACUUGAACUUUGUGGAUGAACCAUCAGAAGAUGGUGCGACGAACAAGAUUGAGAUUAGCAUGGACUGUAUCCGCAUGCAGGACUCGGACCUGAGUGACCCCAUGUGGGUGAGUGGCACAGGCUUUCUCUUCAGUCUUUGGGCCAUGCUAUCUAUAGCUCUGUUAAACCUGUCUUUUCAGUCAUGUGUGAAAAGGCAGGUGGCUCUGAAUGGCCAAGGCCUUUGGGAAGA
rnacentral:sRNA from 1 species